UACCAGCACCCCGAGUGGUCGGGACGAUUAUUGGGCCUAAAGCAUCCGUAGCCGGUUUACAAGUCCUCCGUUAAAUCCAGCUGCUUAACAGAUGGGCUGCGGAGGAUACUAUAAGACUAGGAGGCAGGAGAGGCAAGCGGUACUCAGUGGGUAGGGGUAAAAUCCGUUGAUCCAUUGAAGACCACCAGUGGCGAAGGCGGCUUGCCAGAAUGCGCUCGACGGUGAGGGAUGAAAGCUGGGGGAGCAAACCGGG
rnacentral:rRNA from 1 species